rnacentral:rRNA from 1 species
AGCGAACGCUGGCGGCAGGCUUAACACAUGCAAGUCGAGCGCCCCGCAAGGGGAGCAGCAGACGGGUGAGUAACACGUGGGAACGUGCCUUUUGGUUCGGAACAACCCAGGGAAACUUGGGCUAAUACCGGAUAAGCCCUUACGGGGAAAGAUUUAUCGCCAAAAGAUCGGCCCGCGUCUGAUUAGCUAGUUGGUGGGGUAAUGGCCCACCAAGGCUACGAUCAGUAGCUGGUCUGAGAGGAUGAUCAGCCACAUUGGGACUGAGACACGGCCCAAACUCCUACGGGAGGCAGCAGUGGGGAAUAUUGGACAAUGGGGGCAACCCUGACGCAGCAAUACCGCGUGUGGGAUGAAGGCCUUCGGGUCGUAAACCACUUUUUUCGGGGACGAUAAUGACGGUACCCGAAGAAUAAGCCACGGCUAACUACGUGCCAGCCGCCGCAGUAA